CACCAGGUUGAUUCUGCCUGACGCAGAUGCUAGUUUCUAAGAUUAAGCCAUGCAUGUUGACUGAAAGCAAUGGAAGGACAGACGGCUCAGUAAGACUGCGAUGAUUUGGUCUGGUUGGAUCGAUAACUAUUGGAAACGAUAGCUAAGAGAGCAGAAUAAGUUGCAGACUUAUCAGCUAGUUGGUAGUGUAAAGGACUACCAAGGCGAUGACGGGAAACGGGAAAUCAGGGUUUUGUUCCGGAGAGGGAGCCUGAGAGAUGGCUCCCACGUCCAAGGACGGCAGCAGGCGCGAAAAUUGCCCACUCAUUGUUGUGGAGGCAGUUAUGAAACGUGAGAAGAUCGACGGAGAUUAGAAAUGUCCGAGAAUGGAAUUGGAGGGCAAGUUUGGUGCCAGCAGCCGCGG
rnacentral:rRNA from 1 species